CGAAAGCCUGACGGAGCAACGCCGCGUGAGGGAUGAAGGCCUCUGGGCUGUAAACUUCUUUUCUCAAGGAAGAAGAUCUGACAGUACUUGAGGAAUAAGCCACGGCUAAUUCCGUGCCAGCAGCCGCGGUAAUACGGGAGUGGCAAGCGUUAUCCGGAAUUAUUGGGCGUAAAGCGUCCGCAGGCGGCCUUUCAAGUCUGCUGUUAAAUCGUGGAGCUUAACUCCAUCAUGGCAGUGGAAACUGUUGGGCUUGAGUGUGGUAGGGGCAGAGGGAAUUCCCGGUGUAGCGGUGAAAUGCGUAGAUAUCGGGAAGAACACCAGUGGCGAAGGCGCUCUGCUGGGCCAUUACUGACGCUCAUGGACGAAAGCCAGGGGAGCG
rnacentral:rRNA from 1 species